rnacentral:rRNA from 1 species
AUUGAACGCUGGCGGCAGGCCUAACACAUGCAAGUCGAGCGGAGCGGCGGACGGGUGAGUACUGCCUAGGAAUCUGCCUGGUAGUGGGGGAUACCGUCCGGAAACGGGCGCUAAUACCGCAUACUAUCAGAUGAGCCUAGGUCGGAUUAGCUAGUGGGUGGGGUAAAGGCCUACCAAGGCGACGAUCCGUAACUGGUCCGAGAGGAUGAUCAGUCACACUGGAACUGAGACACGGUCCAGACUCCUACGGGAGGCAGCAGUGGGGAAUAGUGGACAAUGGGCGAAAGCCUGAUCCAGCCGUGGCGCGUGUGUGAAGAAGGUCUUCGGAUUGUAAAGCAAUUUAGGUGGGGGGGAGUUACCAGCAGAAUAAGCGCCGGCUAACUUCGUGCCAGCAGCCGCGGUAAUUC